rnacentral:rRNA from 1 species
GUCCAGACUCCUACGGGAGGCAGCAGUGGGGAAUAUUGCACAAUGGGGGAAACCCUGAUGCAGCGACGCCGCGUGAGUGAAGAAGUAAUUCGUUAUGUAAAGCUCUAUCAGCAGGGAAGAAAAUGACGGUACCUGAGUAAGAAGCCCCGGCUAACUACGUGCCAGCAGCCGCGGUAAUACGUAUGGUGCAAGCGUUAUCCGGAUUUACUGGGCGUAAAGGGAGCGCAGGCGGCGCGCCAAGUCUGAUGUGAAACCCCGGGGCUCAACCCCGGGCAUGCAUUGGAAACUGGCGGGCUGGAGUGCCGGAGAGGUAAGCGGAAUUCCUGGUGUAGCGGUGAAAUGCG